CUUUUACAAUGAAGAGUUUGAUCCUGGCUCAGGAUGAACGCUAGCUACAGGCUUAACACAUGCAAGUCGAGGGGCAGCAUUUCAGUUUGCUUGCAAACUGGAGAUGGCGACCGGCGCACGGGUGAGUAACACGUAUCCAACCUGCCGAUAACUCGGGGAUAGCCUUUCGAAAGAAAGAUUAAUACCCGAUGGUAUAAUCAGACCGCAUGGUCUUGUUAUUAAAGAAUUUCGGUUAUCGAUGGGGAUGCGUUCCAUUAGGCAGUUGGUGAGGUAACGGCUCACCAAACCUUCGAUGGAUAGGGGUUCUGAGAGGAAGGUCCCCCACAUUGGAACUGAGACACGGUCCAAACUCCUACGGGAGGCAGCAGUGAGGAAUAUUGGUCAAUGGGCGCAGGCCUGAACCAGCCAAGUAGCGUGAAGGAUGACUGCCCUAUGGGUUGUAAACUUCUUUUAUAUGGGAAUAAAGUUUUCCACGUGUGGAAUUUUGUAUGUACCAUAUGAAUAAGGAUCGGCUAACUCCGUGCCAGCAGCCGCGGUAAUACGGAGGAUCCGAGCGUUAUCCGGAUUUAUUGGGUUUAAAGGGAGCGUAGGUGGACAGUUAAGUCAGUUGUGAAAGUUUGCGGCUCAACCGUAAAAUUGCAGUUGAUACUGGCUGUCUUGAGUACAGUAGAGGUGGGCGGAAUUCGUGGUGUAGCGGUGAAAUGCUUAGAUAUCACGAAGAACUCCGAUUGCGAAGGCAGCUCACUGGACUGCAACUGACACUGAUGCUCGAAAGUGUGGGUAUCAAACAGGAUUAGAUACCCUGGUAGUCCACACAGUAAACGAUGAAUACUCGCUGUUUGCGAUAUACAGUAAGCGGCCAAGCGAAAGCAUUAAGUAUUCCACCUGGGGAGUACGCCGGCAACGGUGAAACUCAAAGGAAUUGACGGGGGCCCGCACAAGCGGAGGAACAUGUGGUUUAAUUCGAUGAUACGCGAGGAACCUUACCCGGGCUUAAAUUGCAUUUGAAUAAUCUGGAAACAGGUUAGCCGCAAGGCAAAUGUGAAGGUGCUGCAUGGUUGUCGUCAGCUCGUGCCGUGAGGUGUCGGCUUAAGUGCCAUAACGAGCGCAACCCUUAUCUUUAGUUACUAACAGGUCAUGCUGAGGACUCUAGAGAGACUGCCGUCGUAAGAUGUGAGGAAGGUGGGGAUGACGUCAAAUCAGCACGGCCCUUACGUCCGGGGCUACACACGUGUUACAAUGGGGGGUACAGAAGGCAGCUACCUGGUGACAGGAUGCUAAUCCCAAAAGCCUCUCUCAGUUCGGAUCGAAGUCUGCAACCCGACUUCGUGAAGCUGGAUUCGCUAGUAAUCGCGCAUCAGCCAUGGCGCGGUGAAUACGUUCCCGGGCCUUGUACACACCGCCCGUCAAGCCAUGAAAGCCGGGGGUACCUGAAGUACGUAACCGCAAGGAGCGUCCUAGGGUAAAACUGGUAAUUGGGGCUAAGUCGUAACAAGGUAGCCGUACCGGAAGGUGCGGCUGGAACACCUCCUUU
rnacentral:rRNA from 3 species